CACCGCGGUUAGACGGGAGGCUCAAACUGAUACCCCGCGGCGUAAAGCGUGAUUAAGGAAAACACACACUAAAGCCGAACACCUCCUCAGCUGUUAUACGCUUAGAGAGAUAUGAAGCCCCGUAACGAAAGUAGCUUUAACCAGAUAUCCUGAAUUCACGAAAAUUAAGAUA
rnacentral:rRNA from 1 species